CCAGUGUUCUUGCCUGGAGAAUCCCAGGGACGAGGGGGCCUGGUGGGCUGCGGUCUAGGGGGUCGCACAGAGUCGGACACGACUGAAGCGACUUAGUAGUAGUAGUAGUAUGCAUCAUAUCAUUUGGUGUCACUUAGAACAGCAGUGUGUAUCCCCAUAUGGGGAUUAUGGGAAUUAUGCCCAUAUUUCCUAUGUUUAAAAUCUCAUUUUGUACAUCUCAUCUGUAAUGCAUCUGAAUUCCUCUUUCAAGUAACAAAAAUGUUAUUUCAGAUAAAAAUAAAAAUAAAAAUAAAAAUUAAUCAGUUAUUUCUCAAAAUAUGUGGACAGACACAAAAAGCCACAUUUUUAAUCAUUUCAUUUAUAGGAAACAUCGACAAUAGGUAAAGAAACAGAGAAAGAGGAAUUCCCUGGUGGUACAGUGGAUAAGAUUCUGUCAAUGCAGGGGACACUGGUGUGAUUACCUGGUCCGUGAAGAUUACAUAUGCCAAGGAGCAACUAAGUCUGAGCACCACAACUACUGAGUCUGUGCUCUACAGCCCACAAGCCACACUACAGAGCCUGUGUGCCGCAGCUACUGAAGCCUGCAAGCCCUAGGGCCUGUGCUCCACAAGAGAAGUCACUGAAAUAAGAUGCCUGUGCAUCACAACGAAGAGUAGCCCCCAUGUGCUGCAGCUGGAGAAAGCCCGUACAGCAAUGAACGCUCAGGGCAGCCAAAAACAAAUAAACUGAGUUAAAAAAAGAAACAGAGAAAGAAAGAGGAUUAUGGUUGUCAGAGUCUGGGGGAGGAGGAAUUGGGAGCUGCAUUCUUUGGAUAUAGGGUUUUAUUUGGGGAAUAAAAUGUAGAAACUAGUAACUAGGCAGCGGUGAUGGUUGCACAGUAUCAUGAGUGCAUUUAAUGCUCCUAAAUGGCAAUAUUAAAAAGGCUUAAAUUGUAUUGUUAUAAACUUAAAACACAAAAUGUACAAUGCUGUAAAUAACAUGAAAGACAAAACAAUAAAAACUGUAACACAAACAAUGACCGGAGACGGAAAGUAAAGUUUGGGUGAGGGAGCGGGUUGACGUUGUGUAUCGGAAGUGAUGGUGGCUGCAGAUCCAAAUCUGCCCUUGAGGGUGUUGAUUCCUGAAAUGGCUCUGGGUCUCCUACAGAGGUGCAGUUCAACCCACAAGGGCACUGGCUCCUGACCUGGCCCAGAGUCUCCUGCAGGAGCCAGAGCAGGUUCCCCUGCAGCACUGGUGAAUCCACAUGGGUCUUCUGCAGGAGCAGUUUUCAGUCUUCAGGGGUGAAGGUUCCUGAUAUGGCUCUGGGUCUAAUGCAGGGCAGGAGCAGCUUCUCCAUGAGGAGUUCUAUAUGCUGACCUGGUCUGCGUCUCCUGCAAGAGCAAGAGCAGGUUCAACCUGCCCCGUGUUGGUUUCUGACCUGGCUCUGUGUCCUCUGCAGGAGCAGCUGCAGAGGACAAUAAUCUGCAAUAAUCUGCGAGGAUCUUGGCCCCUGACCUGACUCUGGAUUUCCUAUAAAAGCAGGCACUCCUUGGUUUCUGACGUGGCUCUGGGUCUCCUGCAGGAGAUGGUGUAGAUUCUACCUAUAAAAAUCCCACUGUUUCUAUCACAUCCAGGUCAUCCGCAACACUGAUGUCCUUCCUGUAUGGCUUCUUUCACAUGGGGUGUUUUCAACGUUCAUCCAUGUUGUAACAUGUAUCAGUAUUUCUUUCAUUUAUUUCAUUGUGCCUAAAUAUACAAACAUUUACUAUUCAAGCCAUUUUAAAUAUACAGUUCUUUGGGAUUAAUUACAUUCACAUUGUUGUUCAACCAUAUCCCCAACAAGCACAUUCAGAGCAUUCCAAUUUUCACUAGUGAAACUCUGUAGCUAUUAAACACUAAUUCCCGGAGUCCCUGGCAGUGACAUUCUACUUUCUGUCUUUGACUUCUAUGGAUAUCUCAUGCAAGUGGAUUCAUACAUUUUUGUAAUUUUGUGACAGGGUUAUUUCACUUAUCAUAAAGACUUUAAGGUUAAUAUUGUAGCAUGUGUUGAUAUUUCCUUUGUUUUUGAGGCUGAAUUAUAUUCCUUUGUGAAUGCCACAUUUAGGUUAUCCAUUCAUUUACUGAUGGACACUUGGGUUGCUUCUUCCUUUUGCUCUUGUGGUUAAUGCUGCUAUGAGUAUGAGUGUACCCAUAUCUGUUCCAGUCCCUGCUUUCAACUUUUAUGUAUGUACCCUGAUGUGAAAUUCGUGGUCAUAUGUUAAUUUUAUAUUUAAGCUUUUGAAGAACUGCCAUACUGUUUUUCAUAGAGACUUUAUUCUUUUAUUUUACUCCCUCUAUGCUGAAUAAUACGUCUGUUUGCAGACCUACACAAUUUUGUUUAUUCAUUUACCUGCUGAUGGACUUUUGCGUUGUUUCCGCCUGUUGCUAUUGUGAACAGUGCUGCUGUCAAUAUAUGUGUACACCUGUUAUCAAUUCUUUGGGGUAUAUUUCUAGGAUGGAGUUGUUGAACAAUAUACUAAUUAUAUAUUUAUAUUGUAAAUGUGGACUUCCCUGGUGGUAAGCCCAUCUUCUCAGAUGGUAAAGAAUCUGCCUGCAUUGCAGGAGACCUGAGUUUGAUCCCUGGGUUGGGAAGAUUCCCUGGAGAAGGGAUUGGCUACCCACUCCCGUAUUCUUGCCUGGAGAUUUCCAUGGGCAGAAGAACCUGAUGAAAUACAGCCCAUAGGGUCCCAAAGGGUCAGACGUGAAUGAGAGGCUAACACAUCACAUUGCAAAUGUAGGUCUCACCCUUUUCUAUUUUUACAAGUAAUGUUUGAAGGUUCCAAUUUCUUUACAUUGUUGUGAACCAUUGUUAUUUUUAAAUUUCUUUAUUUUAACCAUUUUAGAAUAUAUGAAGGAGUUGCUGCAUUGCGGUUUUAAUUUGCAUCUCCAUCAUGACUAAUGAUCUUUGACAUGUUUUUAUGGUUCGGUGACCAUUUGUAUGACUUGUGUGGAGAACAGUCUAUUGAAGUCAUUUAUCCAUUAUUAUAAUUGCUUUUUUGGUCUUUGUGUUGGUGAGUUGUAAACAUGCUUGAGAUACUUUGGAUAAUGAUUUAUCAGAUAUAUAAUGUCUAAAUAUUUUCUUAAAUUCUGUAUGCUUUAAAUGAACUCUAUAAAUGUGAACCCUGUGGAUAUUGGAUGUUGACUGUAAUUUCACUUCUUACAUUUAAGCCUUUUAUGUAUUUUGGGUUACAUUUUGUAUGUGGAAGGAGGAGAGGGUCCAAUUUCAUUGCUAUGCAUGUGGAUAACCAAUUGCCUAGCACUGUUUGUUGAAAACAUCAUUUUCCCCCCAAUUUAAUGUUGUGGACUGUUGUCUAAAAUGAGUUCACCAUAGAUGGGUGGGUUUAUUUCUGUGAUCUCCCUUCAAUUUCAUUCAUCUCUAUGUAUAUCUUUAUUCCAGUCUCAUAGUGUUUUAUUCAGUGUUUUUUGUAUUAACAUGUAAAAAUGGGAAGUGUGAGUAUCUGUAGGGAGGGAGCAAAUUAGCCAAGAUGGUGGUCAGGCUCUCUCGCCCCACAUUUGGUAAAUACAUGGCUAUGUAACAGCUGAGAUAAUUUACAGCAUGUCACGAGGUACUCACUUGGUCAUGGGCUACUUUGUGUGAUAUGCCUAUAGAAACACCAUCUGAGAAGUCCUUGAGGCCGCCUUAUGGCUCUGUGUGACUGCCUAUGGUUAUGUUGCUGGAUCAACCAUGAGAGGAGAGAAUAGAGUGUGUCUGCUGCUGCAGCUGCUGUGCCAGCCAGGAGAGAACAAACGUGUCUGCAGUUCCUACAGCUCCUACAGUUUUCUUCCAUCUUCCCAGCUCACAUCUUGCCUACCAUGCGUUCAGCAAAUAGUGUGCAUAGUGAAAUACAAGUUCCUGGAUGAUGACCUUACUGAUGACAUUCUGUGUGUCAAGAAGAUUCUGGAUAAAGUAGGAAUUAACUAUGGUUGGUCCAUAAAGCACUCUGUUCUGAGAAGCUGGAUCAGUGGCUCUGUGAGAAGUUGUGAACACCUGCUGUCUUUGCUGCUUUUGCCGUCUUUCUGUUCCUGAAAUUCCUCUGCCCUUUGGCUACCUCAUUUUGCUUCUUUGUACUGCCUUGAAGCGGAUUUGUCUCUGAGCCUGGGCCCUCUAGUGAUGUUGUUGGACAUACAAGGACUAUUCUCCAGGGAUCCGUAAACAGUGCUCUGAGACUUUUGACUCUUGCUCAGUGCCCCCAGUGGCACUUUCACUACAACAGUGUCCUGUGUUCUAAAUAAAGGGCUUGAUUUUGA